CUCGUCUGCUGACAAUGAUGAAUAUGUCAAUCGAAACGCCAAAUUGAUUUUCACUACGGACAGAAAUCAAACUUGGAUGCGCUUGCUCCAGCUAUUGAUUUUCACAAUUGAUGGACGGCUAAGGAAAUUUGAAAAAUGAAUUCCAAUUUCCUUUAAGUUUGAUGAUACAUUGCUGCUUCAACACCAACAAUUUGCGCUGAUUUCGACUAAACAACAAGAAGUUCCGUAUAACAUUUUUCGUGAUUGGCAACAGCCAAUAGCUGUUUUGUAAUGGCCGCCGUGUGUAAGAAGUCAACAAUCAGACGGGAAUAGUUGAACGAGACGAAUUUAGGAGUUAAAUACCACUGGGAAUGCAGAAUUUUGUUUUAAAAUGGACUGCAGAUUAUUAGAACGGUACCAGCGUGAUAACACUUAAAGGCGAUCAAUACAAGUUGGGUGUCUCAGCAGAGGGGAUGUUGCACCUACCACCUUAUUGUCAGUCGUUACUUACAGGAACUUGAUUGCAGUAUGGUGAAUGUGUAUUGGCUCCCCUUUGGAUGGCACCAAUAAAUAACUAAUCACCUGAGUUUGUGCAGAAAACUUCUUGCAGGGGCUAGGCUAUGAUAGACAGGAAAUUACGGAAACAGCUGGGAGGCAUGUGAAACUGGUUAUUAGAGCCCACAAAUUUCACCACCAGAUCUUCAAACCACACUCAACAUUGGACCUCCACCAGCCAGAAUAAAACAGCUGUCAUGUUGAAUAAGAUGAACUCUUAUUCAAUAGGAUAUCCUCCGUCAGAUUCAACUCAACAUCAAAAGAUUUAAAGAUACAAGAAGAUUGGAUCUUUUCCUCUUGGGAUUUGACUUACCUUUCACGCACCUGUAUCAAGCCAGCAAGUCGACCGUCAGUCCAUAAUACCUUGGGUGAAAGCCGAACUGAAAACUGUUGCACUUCACAGUUAUUUGACACAGAUUUUCUUUGAUUUUGACUCUUGAUCCUUCCACUGUACGAAAUAUUGGAUUCAGUCGAACCUGAAUAAUAAAACACAAAUUUUAAAAGAGAA